rnacentral:rRNA from 1 species
UACGUAGGGUGCGAGCGUUGUCCGGAAUUAUUGGGCGUAAAGAGCGUGUAGGCGGCCAGGUAGGUCCGCUGUGAAAACUCGAGGCUUAACCUCGAGCUGUCGGUGGAAACCAUCUGGCUAGAGUCCGGAAGAGGAGAACGGAAUUCCCGGUGUAGCGGUGAAAUGCGCAGAUAUCGGGAAGAACACCCGUGGCGAAGGCGGUUCUCUGGGACGGUACUGACGCUGAGACGCGAAAGCGUGGGGAGCGAACAGG